rnacentral:tRNA from 1 species
AAUUUUAUAGUUUAAUAUAAAACAAUAGGUUGCAAACCUAAAAAUAUAAUUUUAAGUUAUUAAAAUUU